UACGUAGGGGGCAAGCGUUGUCCGGAAUCAUUGGGCGUAAAGAGCGUGUAGGCGGCUCGAUAAGUCCGCUCUGAAAGUCCAGGGCUCAACCCUGGAAUGCGGGUGGAUACUGCCGGGCUAGAAUCCGGAAGAGGCGAGUGGAAUUCCUGGUGUAGCGGUGGAAUGCGCAGAUAUCAGGAGGAACACCAAUAGCGAAGGCAGCUCGCUGGGACGGUAUUGACGCUAAGGCGCGAAAGCGUGGGGAGCAAACAGGG
rnacentral:rRNA from 1 species